UGAGGAAUUUUCCGCAAUGGACGAAAGUCUGACGGAGCGACGCCGCGUGGGCGAGUAAGGUUUUCGGAUUGUAAAGCCCUGUCGCGAGGGACGAAAGCUUGCAGGCUAAUACCUUGCAAGUAUGACUGUACCUCGUAAGAAAGCGCCGGCCAACUACGUGCCAGCAGCCGCGGUGACACGUAGGCUCCAAGCGUUGUCCGGAUUUAUUGGGCGUAAAGAGCUCGUAGGCGGUUUAGUAAGUCGGGUGUUAAAACUCUGGGCUCAACCCGGAGAGGCCAUCCGAUACUGCUGUGACUUGAGUUCAGGAAGGGAGCGGGGAAUUCCUAGUGUAGCGGUGAAAUGCGCAGAUAUUAGGAGGAACACCGGUGGCGAAGGCGCCGCUCUGGACUGAAACUGACGCUGAGGAGCGAAAGCAUGGGUAGCAAACAGG
rnacentral:rRNA from 1 species